AUGAGCUGGGUUGCCCUGGCUAUGGCACUUGGUGUAUGGUUUUGUUUUCUAAAUCUUACUAGCCUUGCGACUCCAGCCUACAGUAUACAUUUUUUGAGUGUGUAUGUAGAGUGGUACACAUGUAGACUCAAGAAAUCGUUUGUAUGUUUAUGUAAGUCAACAUGCUGUAUUUGUCAUUUCAAGAAUAAAGAACCUAACAAGCACGCUGAAUCUCAAAAUGUUUUGGUUGAAAUAUAUAUCCUUUUUUGGCUUCUACAUCAAGAGCAUGCAAAUAGUCCAACAACAUUCAUUAUGAUGAAGUUUUAG
rnacentral:rRNA from 1 species